CCUACGGGAGGCAGCAGUGAGGAAUAUUGGUCAAUGGCCGCAAGGCUGAACCAGCCAAGUCGCGUGAGGGAUGACGGUCCUAUGGAUUGUAAACCUCUUUUGUCAGGGAGCAAAGGGCGCCACGUGUGGCGCUUUGCGAGUACCUGAAGAAAAAGCAUCGGCUAACUCCGUGCCAGCAGCCGCGGUAAUACGGAGGAUGCGAGCGUUAUCCGGAUUUAUUGGGUGUAAAGGGUGCGCAGGCGGAAUGUCAAGUCAGCGGUAAAAUUUCGGGGCUCAACCCCGUCGUGCCGUUGAAACUGGAGUUCUUGAGUGAGCGAGAAGUAGGCGGAAUGCGUGGUGUAGCGGUGAAAUGCAUAGAUAUCACGCAGAACUCCGAUUGCGAAGGCAGCAUACCGGCGUUCAACUGACGCUCAUGCACGAAAGCGUGGGUAUCGAACAGGAUUAGAUACCCGUGUAGUC
rnacentral:rRNA from 1 species